UAAGUUUAGUCAUGGUUUAGUUCUCUUCUUUUUUAUUUUAGUUUAAUUCGUUACGUUACCAGUAAGUUAGUUUAGUCAUUGACUUCAAUGGUACUAGAUGCAAUGUCUUUUAAGGAUUCAUAGUCAAUGGUUUAGUUAAUUUUUUUUAGAAGAAUCAAAGUACUCAUAGGUUAGUUUUAAAGUUUGUUUGUUUACUUUGUUUCAUGAUAGUAGGUAAGCUAAGCAAAGCAAAUGAUAAAUUGCCUUGCAUCAAGGAACUUCAGAAAAUUUUGUUUAUAAAUUAAACUUUUGUCGGACUCGGCGCCUCACUAAAAUGUUAUAAUCUUUGACGUUGUUGUGUUUUUAUUUUAAGUUCUUUACCAUAAGUUGCAAAAUCCACACAACAUUCAAAGUUCCUGUAUCAAAAUUAUGAACUGACUUUAAUAGGCCUACCGGUAAGACUUAGGUUCUUUUUUUGGAGGUUAUGGUUCUUGGGAACUUAAAUGAUUUAAGUACUGUACCGGUAUAACUUUAUUUUGUUUACCGUUAGGUUCUUUUUUUGGAGGUUAUGGUUCUUGGGAACUUAAAUGAUUUAAGUACUGUACCGGUAUAACUUUAUUUUGUUUACCGUAUGUUAAAUAGUACCUGGUAAAUGCUUAAGUUAGAUUACUCUGCAUACGAAGUUAUUUAUGACUAAUAAGUAAUUUAUAUACAAAAGCAUGGCACUAACUAGGCCUAGCCUUCUGCUAAACUACAGAACAGUGCAUCAGUUUUUUUAAACCUAGCCCACCAAAAGCAUACCAAACCAGCAUUUUACUGUUUGCGGGUACACUUCCAUAUCUGUUGGCACAAACAACCGAAUGGGUAUUGAUAAUUCUAUUAGGCUAUUCCGCCCUCGACCUAUUGACUCGCAAUAUACGCGGGUCCGAAAGCUAUUCCGCUUCUCGGCCUAUUUAUAGGGGUUGCAACGCUAGCGCAGUAUGUGGCUGCUCGGAGAACUAAUGACCCCGCGCAGGCCAUUUGAAAUCGCCUAAAAUCGUUUUCUAAACUCGUAAUAUUUUUCCCAUUAGGCCUCCAAGAUAAUAAAUAGAGGAUUUUUAUUUAACAAAAGUUAAAAUUAUAAUAGAAGGAAUUUGUUUUCCAAAAAAAAAAGCUGCACUGUAAAUUAUUUUCUAUAAACCCGUAUACAAGCCCGGGCAUUUUACAUCACUAACCAUGGGAACAAUUUGUUAUUUUCUUUACAAAAUAAUUACCUAUUCUUCUUCUAGGUACAAUCCCCUCACUACACUUGCCAGACCCCUAGGCCUAUUUCUUAAUUUCCCUACACCUGCAAAUGAACCUUCCUUUUUGACCCCAAACUAUCCCUCUACAUCAGCCCAUUUUUCAGAACCAGAACUUCCUUCUAAGCCACCUAUGCAGCAGCACACUCCUCAUCGACAGCUGUUGCCAACAAAAAGUGGAUGCAAUAAUGAGAAUUAUAAAUAGACUUUUUGUCAUCGUCGGACAGCUCCAGGAAACAGUGGUUGUCCUCACAGACGCUGUGCAAAAAAGCAGAAAAAUGGAUGACUGUGCCAUGUACAAUUAAGAACAGGAAAAUCGAAAAUAUGAAAUAAUAGGAAGGAUAUACGGUACCAGUUCAGAAUUUGAAGGAGGUGGAAGAGUUAGAGAAGAUAUUAGAAAUCCCUCAAUUUAAUAGGCAGUUGUUUAAGGUUCUAACCUUGGUUGGGGGGGAAGGAUCUAAAAACUAUGACAUACAACUGCCUACGACGGUUGAUGUCCUACCAGGUUGCGGUAGAAUACUCUUACAGCGGUAACACUGCAAGAAACAAAGAAAAGACGAAGAAAAUUGCAUUUUUUAAAACAAAUGCCUGCAAAAUCGCACACGAAGCUGUAAAAAGAGUAAACCCAGUGGCAACUGAGGAAGUAGUGAAGACCUGGAUGGGAAAGUGGCUGCAACAAGCAAAAUACAGACUAGAUAGAAAAUCUUCUGAAGCAGGCGGAGGAGUUGAAGUUGGAGAAGAAAUUGAAGAAGAGGAAGUAAAAUAAAUAAUGGAAAUUGUAUUUACUAUACAUAGUAAUAAAUUAUCUUGAAACGUGA